rnacentral:lncRNA from 1 species
GCUGGAGAAGUUCGGACGGACUUCGGUUCUCGUGAGAGGUCGAAAGGGGGCUGCUUAUUGUAGGAGCUCGGGCGAGGACCAGUUGUCGUGGAAGCUCGGAGUAGUGUCCCGCUGUAGAAGCUCAUCCAGAGCCCACUCGCUAUGGGGUAGCUCAGUUGAAGUCUACCUGUAGUAGAAGUUCGGAAGAAAUUUACUUACAGUAGAUAUCUGGGAUAGACAGCCCGCUGUAGGAGUUCGGAGUAGACCGUUCGUAGUAGAAGUUCGGCUCUCGCGGGAGCCCGAUUAGGAU